GGAAAAUGGGACAUUAAUUUUGUCAGUUGGCAGAGAAUUUGACAGAAAAGCUCAAUUUUUCAGGCAUAUUUUCACUACCCUUAUGUCAGCUUCCAAAGUUGCUUGGAAAUUCAACCUAUUUGUGAUGCAGAUCAGCGUUUGCAUUUGAGGAAAGCGCCUUCUAAUAAGCCUUAUGAGGUGUGCAGUCUUUAAAAAGAAUUUGCAGGCCACCGUGUGUGUGACCAGAAAGAACUGUUUGUGUAAUGUAGUGCCGUUCCUGUAGCAUUCCUGGAGCUACAGAGCUUGAAAGAGCGAAAAGGACAAUGUGAACCUCUGCAACGCUUUAAAGCAUCAAGAGUUCAGUAGAGGACUCACAACUUCGGCUGCCAUUGUAGUCAUAUAAAGCCGACCCUGCACACUUGUGACGGGGGCUGUACAUUGGACCAUCCUGCAGCUGUUGUUGCUUGUAAUGUGCAGCUCAUACUGGUGUUUUUGCAUGGUUUAUCAUGAAAUACUUGGUGUUUGUUUGUCAUACAUUUCAGCUUGCAAGUUUCUUUAUUAAUUGUAUCAGAACUUCAAAGCAAGCAGCUUUUAUAAAGUACCACAUGAAAUAAUUGUUGUCAUAAAUGCAUAUAAGUAUCCAGGCCACAUAAAGAAUUAAUUACUAUAAAUGACAUUGCUUUCCUUUUUCUUUUGUGGCUGUGAAUAGUUUAGUUGUGUGUUUCAUCUUUUUGCUGUGUUGCAUCAAUGCCAUCUCCUUUUCACUGCUGCAUUGUAUUCACAUAAGAGGAAAAGUGGCACUGAGCAAGCUGCGUGUAGCAAUUGGCUAAACAUUCAUGUUGAACAAAUUUUGUCGUUUUCAUUUUUUAAGUUCAUAUUGUGAACAGUUACGGUAAUACACUUCACAUUGCCUGCCUCGUUUCCACAACAUGCAUGUUCUAUUGUUCAUGUAUCCUUGUUUGUUGUGCCUAUGUGGCCCAUAUGAAAGCCUUGUAUACUUGCAGUAUGUUUCUGAAAAGUAUUCUAGGUCCUGCUGAGCUAUAUUUUACAGCGCUUGUAUGUGCACAUUAAGUCUUUUCCAGCACACACUCAGGUCAAAGGGCAUGAGAAAGCAGUGGUAGAUCACACAUUUUUUUUUUUUAACUGUUGCCUGAGAGGACAAGAAGUCCAGGUCUCCAAGCACAGGGACAUCAGCGAAGCCAUAUUUUUUAAUGUAUUGAACUUUGCGAGAAUAUUUCGCUGGUUUCCCACAAACACUAAAGGUUUGCAGAACAGAACCAGGGGUUAGUGACAUCCAUAACAUUCUUUGUGAAUGGUACUCUCACUGGCCAACUACCUUUAGUAACAUUAUUUUCACUGUCAUGAUAAAUCAGCCCAUUUUCUCCAACAUAUAUAUUAGCGCAGUUCUCUUGUUGUUUAUAUUGAUGCCACAUUUUUGCUGCGACUGCUGCUAAUGGUAGCAAGUUGCCAUCGAGCCAAUACUAUUCGCUUGUGGUGAUGUUUUAAAUUCAUUAACAUAGCUUUCUUAGCUGUUUUCAAUAAAAUAUUUAUGAACACAGGAAGCAAAUUGCAUUUCUGUGGUAACUAAGCUAUUUGUACAGCAAAUCAGUGGUCAUAGACGAAAGUUGAAGCAAACAGACAUGUCUGGGCCAACCGCAUCGGCCUACUGCGAGUUCCUACAUCUGUGCAAGAUUUAUAUAUAUAUAUUUUUCUUGUACCCUGUUUCCGUAAUAUCACCAACGUCCUUAAUGUUUUUAAGUAAGCUUGAUGACCUUGAGAUUUUGACAAUGCAGCUUGUAGUAUUAUCCUCCACUACGUAAACGCAAUAUUUCAGAAAAUCGGACCCCUCUGUUUCUAGUGUGCACCUUACGUUUACAUUACACAAAUGUGUAGCUAGUAGUCAUUAUACUGUGCAAAACAAGACAGCCACCAUGUCUUCAAUUAUUGCUAGUCAUAAUUGGACUGCAUUUUUAAAUCAAAGUUUAGUUUUUUAAAUAAUGUAAGUGCAUUGACACUGCUUGUUCCCAAUUGCAGCUGUCCUGUACAAGUGUAAGAGAGAGUAAAGUACAUCUCAGUUGACAGCGAACUUCAAAUUCAGAACAAAACUUCGGAGUAAUAUUCAAGGCAGACUGACACAUUUUUGCCAUUGGUUUAUAUACAAGUGAGUCAGUGCUAUUUACUUUCUGGAUAGAAUGUUCAGUGCAUUUUUGUUGUAUUUACAGCUAGUAAUAUCAAGCUUAUUAUGGAAAUGCAUGAUGUGUUAGGCCAUGUCCAAAAAGCUUUUCAUCUUUUUCUGAGGUGGACUAAUAGUGCACUACCACUAGCCUAAUGGUAAAUUCUAAGAAGACAACCCAUUGUUUCCAGUUCAUUGCAUUGAUAUCAAUUACUGCACAAGUACACAUGAUCGCUGCUAUGGAAUGAUCGCUGCUAUGGCAGCAAGGCCAUAUGCUAUGGCCUUGCUGCCUAAAAAAUGUCUCUGAUAAUGUAUAGAGACAUCACCUUUGCAUAGACUGCAAAAAACAAUAGCUAUCUGUUUAGCUGUAUGAAAAUACAGAUGUUCCUUGAAAACAUUUGCAAGACACUAUCCCUCUUUAUGCACAACAGCUUGAUUAGCACAAAAAAUCUUAACCCUACUGUACGCUACAGUAGUUCUCCUUCUGUGCCAGAUUUUGCUGCAUUGAUAUAGUGUUAUUCACUCCUAUACUUUCUUCGAAGUAACGGAGCACUUUUAGUCUCUAUAUUGUAAAAAAAAAUGUCAAAUUAUCAUUUUUAUUUGCCAGAGUAAAAUAUGCUACAAUUGUGCCAUGCUGCUGAUUGUUGGAAAGCACAUUCCAUAUUCCUGUAACAGCAGCCUGGCUUCACAUGUUAAAAAAACUUAAAAUAUUACAAUCUCUGCUUAAGAGCUGAAAAUGAUCUGAACCAACAGUUGUGCCCUCUUCUACUUUUUUGUCCUUUUUAUUUGUCCACAUGUCGCUUGAAGACGGCAAAUCCUGAUUUAAUAAUCUCUAUUACUACAGCAGAUCUUUUUUGCUUCAACUUUUAUUGCAUUCUUCAUGAAUGCUGGAAAAUUAAGUGAAACGAUGUAUGUUUGAACGGAUCUUUCAAAGGCUGUUGAGGAAAGGAGGAAAGACUGUCGUUAAGACUUCAAGUGUGUUAAACAAUGCGGUUAAAUUAAAAAUUAAAUCCUGGAGUUUUGCAUUCCAAAAUCAUGAUCCGAUUAUAAGGCACACUGUAUUGGUGACUCCAGAAUUACUGUAGCCACUUAAGUCUCUCCAACAUACCCCCAUCUCUGAAGUACACAAGCAUUUUUGCACUUUACCACUGCUGUGUGCUGAAUCGAACCCCCCAACCGCAUUCUCAGUAGCACAGUGCCAUAGCUGCUAGACUAUUACAGCUGGUAACUAGCAUGGUUGGAUUUAGUUCAGGAGUGUACGAAUAGUGAAUUUAGGACGGAAUUGAACGCGAAUCGAAUAGCGGUGACACUGAAUCGAAUAAAAAUAGGAAUUGAAUACUGUUCAAAUAGUUUUCAAAUGGUAAGGCAACCAUUUUCAAAGCAGCUUUAAGCCCGUAUUCACGAACCAGCCUUAUCCUUAUCUCGCAUUUUCCUUAUCAGAUUUGUGCCUUUAGUGUGCUUGAUAAACAAAGUAGGCCGGUAUUCACAAACCAACCUUGUAGUUUUCUUUUACCAUUUUUGUACCCUUAUAACGCACGUAGAGUGCAUAGAAACGUAAGGAAAACAUGAGAGAAGGAUAAGGUUGGUUUGUGAAUACGGGCCUUAGAAUGGUAAUGUAACCGCUUUCGAAACAGCCCAAGAAAUCCACAUUUUAUUUGAGACAAAUAUUCACAAGCUUUAACAAAGGCAGAUUACGAUGACCUUUAACCUACAAAAAAUAUCACAAUUAUGUAAACUGAAGCAAGCUCGUAUACAGCAGCAACUAGAGUUUUAGCAAUAUUUUUUAACUGCAAGUAGAAAUACAGCAGUGAAUACAGUAUUCAAGGUGGCACUUUGUCAACAGCUUUUAAAUCAAACAGAUGUAUAAAUAUUACACAAUAUUCAUGAGUCAACAUCAUCAUGAAUGUCAUGAUGACAUGAUGAAGACAGUGGAUUGAUGACUCUGUUGCUUCGGCAACACUGGAGUUUUAAGUAAACACUCCUUCAUCCUGUGAUCAAUAUAGCGUCGACAGUCCUAUAAAACCUUGGUCUGCAUGCACCUAGCUAAUUUGCUGAUUAAAACAGGAAGUCUUACCCCGCUCUGUUACAACGCUUCGUUCCUUUGAGGUUUUUUUUGAUCGGUGCCUACUAUUAGAAAAAUAUUCGGUAUUUCUAAUAUGCACAAUCCGAUUCGAGCACCAUAUGAAAUAGAAUGCUGUUCGAUUCAGUAUUCGAAAUUUUCAAAUAUUCGCACACCCCUAAUUUAUUUCUUGGUUGCUACUGAAGCUAGAGCACGUGAAGGUCAGAUUGGUUCUGAACGAAAUUGAAUAUUUGUGCAAAAGAGAGAGAGUAUUUCAUUCCAUGCAGCAAGUUGCCAAUCAAACAUUGGUUUAGCACUCGUGCUAUAGCACAUGAAGUGUUAUGUCAGUCAUGUAAGGAACCCAAAUCUGAACUCAUUCUAAACAUUAUUGGAGAAGGCAUUUCCGUUGGAAAAGGUUCACUUGGUGUAGAUGAGACAUGCACUAAGGCACAUUCCAGCCACUGUUAAGUAUAUUGAAAAUUAACAAGUGGUCAUUGUAAUGCACAUUCACAGCUGCUACAUUGUCGUAAUGUGAAUUACCUUGAUUGGCUGAAACAGCAGGCACCGCAGCUUUUAGUUAAACAUUACAUAGAACUUUUAUGAUGGAUGCAACUGGCUUCAUGGAACAGGUUACUCUCCUACAUAAGUUGCAGAAAAUAAAUUACAUUUGAAAUGGUCUCUCUUGAUGAAGCCAAAUAUGCAUGGCUUGAAGGGGCUAAAAUUUGUGUAUUGAAAGCUUUUAAAGGAGUCCUGACACAAAAGUUUUCGCCCCGCGUUUUUUUGCUGCAAUGUGUUGCUGGGGGCCUGUUAGUCAUAACAUGGCACAUCGUUUGCUGCAACGCGCGACAGAUAAUUAAUUGCAAGCUCCUCAUUACCGACACAGCGUCAGUUUCAGUUUGACAGAGCUCCAAAAACGACAAGCCGCCGGGUGCAACUAUCACCACCUAGCGAGUGAAACGCUCGGUCACGUGAGCACACAGAACAGUGACUCAUUUCCGUGCGGUCUGUCGUCGCCGGGCUCAUCAUCGUCUGAUGGCAACGAUUUUCUUGCGGCGGGGAUGGAAGGAAUUUUCGACGUUGCGAAUCACUUCAGGUUUGACCCGCUGGCGAGGAGCGAUUCGUCGGGAAGCGCGUCAAAACGGAAAUGGCGGCUACGACGUCAUCAUAACUUGUACCGGCUGCAACGGUUACGUAGGGGAAGUAGGGGGGUCACCUCGGGUCACCUCCGAGGGUGUCAAUGCAAUAGGUGCGGCCUAUAAUGCUGGAUCGCGAUCGCGAACUUCAAAAUUCAUAUAAAAUACCUUCCAAGCUUUAUUCUAUUCGCUGUCGAUAUUUUGCAGAUGGUACACGCACGUACACGGGAAUCGAUCCAGCAGGCUAUCUCGGCCGCGAAAUUUUGUGUCAGUACCCCUUUAAAGCAUCAACUGUGACAUUACAAAUAGAAAGCAGCGUAAUGUUUUUGUAAUCUCAUCUGUUCAUGUCCAUGUGGUGUUGGUGACACAUUUUAGGUUUCAGGUCUUUGUCUUACAGUAACCAGCUGUCAGCUAUUAGGCAUAUCUUUCUUAUUGUCUUUCACAUGUCGGAAUCGGUGUUUCUUUUCCUUAAGUGGAGCUUCUGGAUAGUGUGAGCAAAGUGUCACUGCUCCACAAAUAUUACUCGAAAAAGAACCUGCUUAAUCAUUUCGUUGCCGUGAGUCCAGUCAGUGUGUGGCUGUGAACCUUUAGGUCAAAUGUUCCUCUACAGCUCUGUACAUAAUAGUUCCAGGUUUACCAACAACUUCACUUCUUUUCUAAUUAUCUGGUGGCAGCUGCCAUAUUCUGAAGCAGCUUAUGUGCUUGGUAUAAUAUAAGCCUUGUGCUACAAGUGAACAAAUUUUGCGUACAAAACUGACACAGAAAAGUGCAUGUAGCAUAAUUAAAAAAAAAAACUGUAAAUUUAAAUUGUUGAGAAGCCAGUUGUUAAACUGAUGGCACAUGUUAAAGAAAACUAAUGUGAAGGAAUACACUGAUGUGCCCAUGUGGCCGUUGUGGCAAUUUGCCUUUCGGCAAUAUCUUGCAGGCAGCAGUGUGACAAAUGUAACAAGACAUAAGUUAGGCAGUGGGUGUGAGCGGUACCUUAAUCAAAUGCUUUGCAAUUUUCAACCUUGCUAUGCUAUGGCUUUUGAGUGUUGCACUUGUCUUUUCUAAUGCAUCCAGUUUUGAUAACCUAUUUUUCACCAUUAAGACUCACUUUUCUUUUGGCCUUUAAUGUAAAGACUGAAUUUGGUGGUUCACUAAAGAAAGAACACUGUAGUGGCCGGGAAAAGUGGUGGCAAGAAUGUGGGAAAGUAGCAACAGUUUUGUGAAGUUUUUUUGUUUGUGCAAUGCAAUUUUGUCCUGCUUUUUUUUUAUGUAUCAAAUGACCUGGAUGCUCCCAAAUGUCAGGCAGCUUGUUACAUAGUGUUUUGUAUGUCACAGUCUUAAGUAUAUAGUAUGAAUGUGUAGCAUUUUUUGUCGAGGUGCCUAGAGUUCCAGAGGUAAUUCUUGAUUUGUAUUGUUUUUACAUGCGAAAACAUGCAGCGCCAUCUAUGUCUAACAGUGUGUGAACCUUAUAAUUACUUGAGUUAUGGCCAGCUAAAGUAAGCAGGAAACCAGUCACUCUGAAGUUUUCCUAAAAAAAUGUGGAUGCUUCUCUGAAAGCAGAAGCUUUUUUGCUAUGCGUGAGACCAGACAAAUCACGAGCCACAUUGCUUGAUGGAGGAGGUAAAAGAAGAGAUACAAAAGCUUGUGCAAGCUUUGUUAGCACUCUGGUAUGAAAAUUUAUCGCUAUUUGGGUGCUUUCGUGCAUAUUGGCAUACAAGUUAAUGAGAUUCGGAAAUAAAAGUGCUUUAGGAUUUAAUUUAUGCUACUGAAUUGUGGUGCAAGCAGCCACCUACAUAUGUUUUAAUGAAUUUGUAAUUAUCAUUUAAUGCUUUUCUGUUGUUCACACUAGUUCUGUGCUUCAGCAGUAUUGAAGUCAUGCCUGACAUGUGUUUAAAAGGUGCCGCAUUGAACACACUGUUCAACAGCUACUGUUUGAUGAGCCUUAAGUCAUCACAGGGUCUACCUAUGCAUUCCUUUCAACUUCUUUCUGGACGUUCUUUUUUGGAAGUCAGAGAAAUGGUGACUUUUGAGUCUGCACAUUUUAAAAUCUUGUUAGGGCCAGUAGUUUUCACUUAUUGCAACAAAAUUAAGUUGGCAAGAUUCCAUGAUCCACAGUAUUUUCGAGAAACCAUUGCUCCAUUUGAGGGAUCACUGAAGUAAUUGAGAAACAGUUGACUCAUGAAUUGAGAGAACUUUGUGAUCAUUUUGUUAAAAAUGCCUUUGAUUUAACUUUUACACUGCCUUUUUUCUUUAAUUGUGCUUCUUAUGGUAAAAUGAUUUGGCCACAAACGAUGCAAAAGCGAAUGACAGGUUGCAAUGUCACCUUGGAAUUCUUGCACCUGCUUCAUGUGACAUCGCAGGUUUUGACGGUGUUUACGCGGGACUAGUUAAUCAUUUACGUAUUUAGAAAACAAUUACAUUGAACAUGAAGUAACAAAAAAUGCAAUUUGUUUCCUUCUGGGAACAUUUUCUGUAUCAAAAUGUUCCAAAUACAUAAAUAUACCAUGAGUUUGUGACGUCAUGAAGGCGUCGUGGGCGUGUUGGUACAUACUUGUAAAUAAACUGGAAGCCAACAAAGAUGCAUACACAAGGAAAGAAGUGGGUGAAGUACAUGCUGUUGUAAUAAAGUCCAGCCUAGUUAUAAAUUCAGUGCUGUUCAUGUGCAUGCCUUCCCUUCUGUGUGUAUCUUUUGCUAUGGUGUCCUGUUGUCUCACAAGCACUGUAUGGUGUGUUGUUACAAAGAUCUUACUCAUUAAUUGCACCUUAGUGAGGUUUAUGUCAGCAAAUUAAGAGCUGCACAAAUAUAGUUUUGCUUAGUUGCUGUAGUUAUUACAUACUUUUUCUAAGCUGCUAAUUUUCAAGGAUCUCUAUGCAAAGAAGGCAGAGCUAAAACUAAGGCUGGGUUGUUUUGGCACAAAUGUAAUAACUAAGUUGCAUUUAAAAAUGUGGCAGCAUAUGUGCGUGUUCAUGCUUGAAUGCCAAGCUGACAUUAUAUAAGAGGGGUGGGUAGAGUGUCUGUCUCCUUUACCACCUAGCAUAAACCAUGAAUUGGCACAGGCAGCCCACAAAGAAGUUACAUUUAUGUAAAUAAUGUUAUUGAUCAAAAUGCUAGCCCUGCACAGCAGCAUCAUUUUAUUAUUGAAGCAUGUAAUUAUGUUUCUGCAUUGUGCAUGUGUGUGGCUGCUGUUUUUAAUGGAUGAGUUAGCAUGCUUUAAAUUGGCAAUUUUUGCAUAGCAGCUGUGAUAUUAUGCAUAAAUGUGUCUUUUAAUUCUAGCAAGUUUUAUCAGUUUUGUUUACCACCUGCUAAUGUCCCAGUUUGAUACAUGAAACAAGACGAGAGGAUCAGAAGCUAUUGGCUGUGCGCUUGUUUAUUCAAAGAUAAAGAUACCUCAUGGGCAAUAUUGUAAUUUAUAAAAUGUCCAUGUUAUAUGAAAACUGAACUUUAAGAUUUACCUCAGUUGCCAACACUUGUCAUUGUAAACUACAAAUUUGCCAUUCAUUUUUGGCAGAAUGUAAUGAUAUAUAAGCAAAUACACCCCGAGCAGACAUAUGUACAAAAUAAUUUUGCAGCAAGGGAAAAUAGUUUGGAAUUGCAUGUUAAGAGCGGUACGCACUAAUUUAUAGGUUUCUUUCUGCUGACUUGCGAAGUUACAAUUGUAAUUUAUUACAUGAUUAAUUCCGUGUAUAUCUUAAAUUUGGCUUCUUGAUGAGUCGCUGUAUAGCAGGGGCAUAUGAGUUUUGCAUUGUGCUGUUUUCCGACCAUUUAAAUAUAGAAAGCAAUGGCACUUCAUAGCACUUUUUUUUCCUGUUGUCACCUUAUGCUUAACUUCAGCGGCAAGUAAAAAUGUGUUGUGCUAUUGUUGUAGUAAUAGCAACUGGAAAGUACACAUAGCUCUGAAUAAUUUGAUGCCAUCUCUCGAAUACCUUCUUACAAAGUGAAGUGAGUUUCAAAAUUGUAUACCUAAAAGUUUCUCUGUGCACAGCUGGCAUCUAUUCAGUCCUACAAACUACUCCAUGGGGCAGUUUUGUAUUUUCUUUCCAAGAAUGCAAGUCUAAGCAGCUACAGCUUUGUAGAAUGUGUAAUUGUUGUCUUGUUUGUAUUUGGUUGCCCAGAAUUCAGAACACUUCUUGAACAAAUUUUUGUCUUUUCGAUCCUGUACAUAUCUAAAAUUUCUUUUUAUUGCAAGAAACAAAAAGCUCCAACAAAAAGUUUCAGUUAUAUUUACAAAGGUGCCUUUUGCUGUUGCUGUUAUUAAAUCUUUAAUAUUUGAACUUACCAACAGAAGCGUAAUGUAAGUACCUUGUACAUAUGUAAAUAAUUCAUUCAGGCUGGUCGUAGUAGUCUCACACUGCACGCAUGCUUUCAGUGCACAUGUAUAUAAGCUGACAUUACCAAUAAACUACUGAUAAUCAA